rnacentral:rRNA from 1 species
GGCGCACGGGUGAGUAACACGUAGGUAAUCUACCUUUGGGUGGGGAAUAACAGCCGGAAACGGCUGCUAAUACCGCAUAAUGCAGCGGCUCGACAUCGAGACAGUUGUUAAAGCGGGGGAUUCGCAAGAACCUCGCGCCUAAAGAGGAGCCUGCGGCAGAUUAGCUAGUUGGUAGGGUAAUGGCCUACCAAGGCUACGAUCUGUAACCGGCCUGAGAGGGCGGUCGGUCACACUGACACUGACAUACGGGUCAGACUCCUACGGGAGGCAGCAGUCGGGAAUUUUGGGCAAUGGGCGAAAGCCUGACCCAGCAACGCCGCGUGAAGGAUGAAAUUUUUCGGAAUGUAAACUUCGCAAGAACGGGAAGAAUAAGUAGAAGAUAAUACCUUCUAUGAUGACGGUACCGUUUGUAAGCUCCGGCUAACUCCGUGCCAGCAGCCGCGG